rnacentral:lncRNA from 1 species
AGACUUAUAAAGACAAGCCAAAAUAGGUUCGUGAAGUACAACAAAAAUUGAAACAAAAAUCGAAAAAAAAUUCAAGUUGUAUUGCAAGUUUCUCAUUACUUUUGAAGUAUUGAAAAAAGAAUUUAAAAAAAAAAGGAGUGUUGGAAAUUUCCCGAUUCACAAAGAAUAUAUUUUCUACCCCCAUCUCUUCUACCUUAACGCCAC